rnacentral:lncRNA from 1 species
CUUAUUUUUUCCUGUAUUUCAUUUUCAUUUUGGUGAUUUGGAGCUCAAGUGAAAAGUCAGUGCUCAGUCCCUUCGUGUGUCCAGGACUUGUGGGUCAUCCCCUUAGAGUAUCACUGCAGAGGACCUGAACCCUCACAGCAUCCAGAUCUUGUUGUUUAAAGAAAACAAACACAAUGAAAAGACCACUGACAUGUCAGCGUGCAUGGGCCACACUGCUAAAUGAAGAACUACAGCAUAACUUGCAAUGGCCCCGAGGAGCUGACUGCAUUUUACAAAGGAGAGGUUCUUUUUUUCUUUGAAUCAACAGAGCAUCUCUAUGGCAGUGGAGUAGAAAACAAGCAGAGAAGUAUUUCCCCUACAUGCUGGAGGUGGUUAUCAUGGUUGUCAAGGAAACAUCCACACUCCACAAGGUCACCUCUGGAAACAACUGCACGAUGUGAAGAAGAGAUCAAUACAUGAAAGCUAAGACUUCAGCUCCCUAACACCACCUACUAUCUUAAAAUAUCACUCCUAACAAACACUUGUUUACCUAAUUCUAUGUGGCUUGGAGUAGUCAAGUGAGACUGAUGAUGUCCUAUAUCGAGUCUAGUGUAUUUCAAG